rnacentral:rRNA from 1 species
AAAUUGAAGAGUUUGAUCAUGGCUCAGAUUGAACGCUGGCGGCAGGCUUAACACAUGCAAGUCGAACGGUAACAGGAAACAG